rnacentral:rRNA from 1 species
GUUGAUCCUGCCAGUAGUCAUAUGCUUGUUUCAAAGAUUAAGCCAUGCAAGUCUAAGUAUAAGCUAUUUAUACGGCGAAACUGCGAAUAGCUCAUUACAACAGUUAUAAUUUACACGACGAUCGUUACCUAGAUGGAUAUCCAUGGUAAUUCUGGAGCUAAUACAUGCGCAAACACCCAACUUAUCGGAAGGGUGGCAUUCAUUAGUCUGCAGAACCUUCCAGGCAUUCGUGCCUGUGCUUGGUGAUCAUAAUGACGGAGCGGAUCGCAGUUCUUGCGACAGUUCGUUCAAGUUUCUGACCUAUCAGCUCCCGUCGGUAAGGUAUUGGCUUACCGAGGCUGUGACGGGUAACGGGGAAUUGGGGUUCGAUUCCGGAGAGGGAGCCUGAGAAACGGCUACCACAUCUAAGGAUGGCAGCAGGCGCGCAAAUUACCCAAUCCCGAUACGGGGAGGUAGUGACCAGAAAUAGCAACUUGGGGCUUUGCUCCUUGAUUGCAAUGGGCGGAAAGCAAAACUGUUUGCGAGUACCUAUUGGAGGGCAAGUCUGG